rnacentral:rRNA from 1 species
UACGGAGGGUGCAAGCGUUAUCCGGAUUCACUGGGUUUAAAGGGUGCGUAGGAGGGCAGGUAAGUCAGUGGUGAAAUCCCCAAGCUUAACUUGGGAACUGCCGUUGAUACUAUCUGUCUUGAAUACCGUGGAGAUGAGCGGAAUAUGUCAUGUAGCGGUGAAAUGCUUAGAUAUGACAUAGAACACCAAUUGCGAAGGCAGCUCGUUACACGAAUAUGACUCUGAGGCACGAAAGCGUGGGGAUCAAACAGGAAUUAGA